UACGGGGGAUGCGAGCGUUGUCCGGAAUCAUUGGGCGUAAAGAGUUCGUAGGCGGUUUGUUAAGUUUGGUGUUAAAGGCGUGGGCUUAACUCACGUAUGGCACUGGAUACUGGCAGACUUGAAUGCGGUAGAGGUAAAGGGAAUUCCUGGUGUAGCGGUGAAAUGCGUAGAUAUCAGGAGGAACAUCGGUGGCGUAGGCGCUUUACUGGGCCGUAAUUGACGCUGAGGAACGAAAGCCGGGGUAGCAAAU
rnacentral:rRNA from 1 species